UUCAGACGAUGCGUCAUGCAUAUCAAUAAGCGGAGGAAAAGAAACUAACAAGGAUUCCCCUAGUAACGGCGAGUGAAGCGGGAAGAGCUCAAAUUUGAAAUCUUAAAGGGUUUCCCUUUACGAAUUGUAGUUUAAAGAAGUGUUUUCUGUUGAGGUUUUGGUAAAAGUUCUUUGGAAUAGGACAUCAUAGAGGGUGAGAAUCCCGUAUUUGACCUUUACUUUCAACUUUGUGAUACACUUUCAAAGAGUCGGAUUGUUUGGGAAUGCAGUCCAAAAUGGGUGGUAAAUUUCAUCUAAAGCUAAAUAUUGGCGAGAGACCGAUAGCGAACAAGUACCGUGAGGGAAAGAUGAAAAGAACUUUGAAAAGAGAGUUAAACAGUACGUGAAAUUGUCAAAAGGGAAGCGUUUGACACCAGUGUUGUUUUUCUGAAAAUCAAUUAAAGAACUGUUUAUGCUAAGUUGUUUAGACUUUAUCAGCUAACUGUUUAGUUUUGAGCUUUUCUUUAAUGCACUUUUCAGUUAACAAGUCAACAUCAAUUUCUUUUGCUGUAAAAAAGCUUGAGGAAGGUGGCUUGAGAUUCGUCUUAAGUGUUUAUAGCCUCUUGCCUAUGCAGUCGGAGAGAUUGAGGUCUGCAGCGUAGAUCCUUCGGGGCUAAAUGCAUUUGUGCUAAGCUAUAGCAUUUUAUAGACAACUUGUUGACUAUGAUUUGUCUUGUAGCUUACUCGCUUAUGUUAUUUUACCUACGCUUAGGAUGUUGAGCGCAUGUCUCUCUCU
rnacentral:rRNA from 1 species